rnacentral:rRNA from 1 species
GUAGGGUGCAAGCGUUGUCCGGAAUUAUUGGGCGUAAAGAGCUCGUAGGCGGUUUGUUGCGUCGGCUGUGAAAUCCCGAGGCUCAACCUCGGGUCUGCAGUCGAUACGAGCAAACUAGAGUGUUGCAGGGGAGACUGGAAUUCCUGGUGUAGCGGUGAAAUGCGCAGAUAUCAGGAGGAACACCGGUGGCGAAGGCGGGUCUCUGGGCAACAACUGACGCUGAGGAGCGAAAGCGUGGGGAGCGAACAGGAUUAGAUACCCUGGUAGUCCACGCCGUAAACGUUGGGCGCUAGGUGUGGGGCUCAUUCCACGAGUUCCGUGCCGCAGCUAACGCAUUAAGCGCCCCGCCUGGGGAGUACGGCCGCAAGGSUA